CUUGGUCAAUUUAGAGGAAGUAAAAGUCGUAACAAGGUUUCCGUAGGUGAACCUGCGGAAGGAUCAUUACAGAGAGAUAGGAGAGUUGAAGGGGUUGCAAUACACCCCUUUGCUCUCUUUGAUCACUAUUAUCUUCCCCCCCUUUACAAUUGUGAACAAUGACGCGAGUUCAAGUCAAGUGCCCCUAUCUUCGGAAUAGGGGCUCUAGACACUCGUGCUMUUUUUUUACCACCUAUACACUACAAUGUUGUACAAUGCAUGAAUUGGGUUUUAAUACACAAUGAAAGAAUAACUUUCAGCAAUGGAUCUCUUGGCUCUCGCAUCGAUGAAGAACGCAGCGAAAUGCGAUAAGUAAUGUGAAUUGCAGAAUUCAGUGAAUCAUCGAAUCUUUGAACGCACCUUGCACCUCUCAGUAUUCUGAAAGGUACACCUGUUUGAGUAUCAUUAAUAUCCAUCCACUUUAAACCUUUGUUGGUUUCAAAGCUGGGAAGUUGGAGGGUUUUUGCUAGUCAUUUCAUUUAUGACUUGCUCCUCUUAAAUGUAUUAGUGAAAGAGAACAAAGCAAGAGAGCUUCAAAAAGGGGUUGAUGUGAUAGAUAUUUGAACAUUUGUCUCAACCUCUGAGAAGUGCACUCUCCUGUUGACAAUGCUUCUCUUUUGCUUUCAAACACACACAUAUACUAUCUUUGAACUUGAUCUCAAAUCAGGUAG
rnacentral:rRNA from 1 species